rnacentral:rRNA from 1 species
GACGAACCGUGCGAACGUUGUUCGGAAUCACUGGGCUUAAAGGGCGCGUAGGCGGCUCCGCCAGUCGGGGGUGAAAUCCCACCGCCUAACGGUGGAAGGGCCUCCGAUACUGCGGGGCUGGAGGGAGGUAGGGGCAGCGGGAACUUCGGGUGGAGCGGUGAAAUGCGUUGAUAUCCGAAGGAACGCCGGUGGCGAAAGCGCGCUGCUGGACCUCUUCUGACGCUGAGGCGCGAAAGCCAGGGGAGCAAACGGGAUUAGAUACCCCGGUAGUCCUGGCCCUAAACGAUGGGGACUAGCUUGUGGCCUGAUCAUGAGGUCACAGGCGGAGCAAAAGUCUUAAGUCCCCCGCCUGGGGAGUAUGGUCGCAAGGCUGAA